AGUGCAUUUUCCUGGAGUGAUUCACUCUUCUCUUCACUCUCUCUCUCUCUCCACCUCCCUCUCUUUACUCUCAAAAACACCUCACGCCCUCCGUUCCUUCCUUGCCGCCACGUUUGGGAUGGGAAACCCGAACCGCAGUUGUCACGUCGGGACGCGAGCAUCCAAAAGCUCCAGCAAGACCUGCUCCUUUCUCAUCAGGCCCAGGAGCGUUCAGGAUGAGCAGAUACAGCGGCUGGAAGAGGAAGUGUCCAGGCUGAAAUCAUGUCAGCAAAGUUCAGUCAAUCCGCAGAUGGAGUGGGACUGAAUGCAGCCGCAUGGGGUUAGAGCUGAAAGAGAGUCGUGCUGGGCGGCACAAGGGCUCGUCUGAACAGGUUUGAGUGUGAAGCUUGAAAGGAGAGGAUUGGGAAUGUUUUUUUGGGGGUAGAGUGGUAAGAACACACUAGUUUUUAAGGGUCACAUUAUGCUUUUGUACACUUUUUAACUUCCUUUAGUGUGUAAUGUUGCU
rnacentral:lncRNA from 1 species